rnacentral:rRNA from 1 species
AUUGAACGCUGGCGGCAGGCCUAACACAUGCAAGUCGAGCGGAUGAAGGGAGCUUGCUCCUGGAUUCAGCGGCGGACGGGGGAGUAAUGCCUAGGAAUCUGCCUGGCAUUGGGUGAUAACGUCCGGAAACGGGCGCUAAUACCGCAUACGUCCUGAGGGAGAAAGUGGGGGAUCUUCGGACCUCACGCUAUCAGAUGAGCCUAGGCCGGAUUAGCUAGUUGGUGGGUUAAAGGCCUACCUAGCCGACGAUCCGCAACUGGUCUGAGAGGAUGAUCAGUCACCUGGGAGCUGGGCCAGGGUCAAGACUCCUGCGGGAGGGCGCAGUGUGGAAUAUUAGACAGUGGGCGAAAGCAUGAUCCAGCCAUGCCGAGUGUGUGAAGACGGUCUUCGGAGUGUAAAGCCCGUUAAGUUGGGAGGAAGGGCAGUAAGUUAAUACCUUGCUGUUUUGACGUUACCGACAGAAUAAGCACCGGCUAACUUCGUG